CGCGGACCGGCGCACGACGGUAGUAACACGUAUGUAACCUGCCCUAUGCAGGGGGAUAACCCGGAGAAUCCGGCCUAAUACCGCGUAACACCUUUUGGGAGCAUUCCCGGGAGGUUAAAGGAGAGAUCCGGCAUAGGAUGGACAUGCGUCGCAUUAGGUAGACGGCGGGGUAACGGCCCACCGUGCCGACGAUGCGUAGGGGUUCUGAGAGGAAGGCCCCCCACACUGGUACUGAGACACGGACCAGACUCCUACGGGAGGCAGCAG
rnacentral:rRNA from 1 species